rnacentral:rRNA from 1 species
GACGAACGCUGGCGGCGUGCUUAACACAUGCAAGUCGAACGAAGUGGCGAACGGGUGAGUAACGCGUAAUCAACCUGCCCUUGCGGGGGGAACAAUAGUUGGAAACGCCUGCAAAUCCUGAAUACUGAUGGAGGGGAUUGCGUGGGAUUUGCUAGUUGGAGGGGUAACGGCCCACCAAGGCGAUGAUCAGUAGCCGGUCUGAGAUGAUGAUCGGCCACAUUGGGACUGAGAAACGGCCCAGACUCCUACGGGAGGCAGCAGUGGGGAAUCUUCCGCAAUGGACGGAAGUCUGACGGAGCAACGCCGCGUGAGUGAAGACGGCCUUCGGGUUGUAAAGCUCUGUUGUUAGGGACGCGGUAUCUUAAGAGAAAGCGACGGCUAACUACGUGCCAGCCGCCGCGGUAAUUC